rnacentral:rRNA from 1 species
CCGCCAGAGAACUACAAGUGAAAAACUUGAAACUCAAAGGACUUGACGGUGUCCCAUAUCGACCUAGAGGAGCCUGUCCUAUAAUCGAUACCUCCACGUUUCACCCAACCUUAACUAGCAAAAUAUCAGCCUAUAUACCGCCGUCGACAGCCUACCCUAUGAAGGUCUAACAGUAGACUCAAUAGCAUCACCGCUAGUACGUCAGGUCAAGGUGUAGCAAAUAUUAAGGUAGAGAUUGGCUACAUUUUUUAUAAUAAAAAACACGAAAAGUACUAUGAAACUGUACAUGAAGGUGAAUUUAGUAGUUAAAA